rnacentral:rRNA from 1 species
AUUGAACGCUGGCGGCAGGCCUAACACAUGCAAGUCGAACGGUAACAGGAAGAAGCUUGCUUCUUUGCUGACGAGUGGCGGACGGGUGAGUAAUGUCUGGGAAACUGCCUGAUGGAGGGGGAUAACUACUGGAAACGGUAGCUAAUACCGCAUAACGUCGCAAGACCAAAGAGGGGGACCUUCGGGCCUCUUGCCAUCGGAUGUGCCCAGAUGGGAUUAGCUAGUAGGUGGGGUAACGGCUCACCUAGGCGACGAUCCCUAGCUGGUCUGAGAGGAUGACCCGCCACACUGGAACUGAGACACGGUCCAGACUCCUACGGGAGGCAGCAGUGGGGAAUAUUGCACAGUGGGCGCAAGCCUGAUGCAGCCAUGCCGCGUGUAUGAAGAAGGCCUUCGGGUUGUAAAGUACUUUCAGCGGGGAGGAAGGGAGUAAAGUUAAUACCUUUGCUCAUUGACGUUACCCGCAGAAGAAGCACCGGCUAACUCCGUG